CAAGAAAUAGUUUAUUUAAAAUAUUAAUUUUGGAGAUUAAUGAUACUUUAUUGGUUUUUUUGA
rnacentral:tRNA from 1 species